GCGGACGUGGCGGAAUUGGCAGACGCGUAUGGCUUAGGACCAUAUAGGGUAACCUGUGGGGGUUCAACUCCCUCCGUCCGCA
rnacentral:tRNA from 1 species